rnacentral:rRNA from 1 species
CUCGUAGGCGGCCAACUAAGUCAGACGUGAAAUCCCUCGGCUUAACCGGGGAACUGCAUCUGAUACUGGAUGGCUUGAGAUUGGGAGAGGGAUGCGGAAUUCCAGGUGUAGCGGUGAAAUGCGUAGAUAUCUGGAGGAACACCGGUGGCGAAGGCGGCAUCCUGGACCAACACUGACGCUGAGGAGCGAAAGCCAGGGGAGACGAAAC